rnacentral:snoRNA from 1 species
GAAUGGAAGUGAGAAUGAGAGUGGAGAUGAGAUUGAAAAUAAAGAUGAGAGGAUAGGAUGAGAGGGAGAAGUAACAAAAGUGAAAACAAAAACUGAAUUCUAUUUCAAAUUGUUUUCACUUUUGUUACUCCUCCCUCUCAUCCUCUCUCUAAAUCUCAUCCUCACUCUCAUUCU